GACGAGGGGUCCUAGCGUUGUUCGGAAUCACUGGGCGUAAAGCGUUUGUAGGCGGCUUUGCAAGUCGGGUGUGAAAUCCCACGGCUCAACCGUGGAAGUGCAUUCGAAACUGCAGAGCUUGAAUAUGGAAGAGGGCAGUAGAAUUCCUGGUGUAGUGGUGAAAUACGUAGAUAUCAGGAGGAAUACCGGUGGCGAAGGCGGCUGCCUGGUCCAAUAUUGACGCUGAGAAACGAAAGUGCGGGGAUCAAACAGG
rnacentral:rRNA from 1 species